rnacentral:rRNA from 1 species
AUACGGAGGGGGCUAGCGUUGUUCGGAAUUACUGGGCGUAAAGCGCACGUAGGCGGACUGAUCAGUUGGGGGUGAAAUCCCAGGGCUCAACCCUGGAACUGCCUCCAAUACUGUCAGUCUUGAGAUCGGAAGAGGUGAGUGGAAUUCCUAGUGUAGAGGUGAAAUUCGUAGAUAUUAGGAGGCACACCAGUGGCGAAGGCGGCUCACUGGUCCGAUACUGACGCUGAGGUGCGAAAGCGUGGGGAGCAAACAGGAUUAGAUACCCUAGUAGUCC